rnacentral:lncRNA from 1 species
AUGCAUCUGGUCGUCUCGAGGAAUGAAGUACGAAUGGCAGUGAUUUCGAAUUUUUAAAUUUUAGAGGAUGGCUUAUUGACAUUUGGGAUGGAUUUUAUGAUGUGGUUUCGUUUAGAUGAGUUGGCUUUGGAUUUUAUGAAUCUUUGAGUGUUGUGUCGUAUGAUUAUAACUAACAAGUCUUAUGAAUUGUGGAUUAUGGGUGUGAAUUAUGACUUGAAUGAUUUUUAGUGUCCUCAAAUUUAGUUAGGAUUUCGUAUUAGAUUGUUGACUGAAUUUUAAUAUUAUGGAUUUUAAGACAGGGUCACACCUUCUGAAUGUGAUAAAUCGGGGGGCGUGACAGAGGUGGUAUUAUAGCAUUAUUUGAGGAUCACUAUAAUAUAGUUGAUACAUUUAAUUAUAUUGAGAUUUAGUAAAUUACAUAGAAAUCGAUGAAAUUUUUCUUUGAUAUCUUUUAGGGAUCUAGGAUGCAUCUGGUCGUCUUGAGGAAUGAAUUACGAUUGGCAGUGAAGUCGAAUUUUUAAAUUUUAGAGGAUGGCUUAUUGACAUUUGGGAUGGAUUUUAUGAUGUGGUUUCGUUUAGAUGAGUUGGCUGUGGAUUUUAUUUUAAGGAUGGGAGAGUGUAAUAUCUCUAAUUUUUAAAAAUUUUGUAAGGGCUUAUUUGUAAUGUAAGGACAUGUUUGUAAAUAUAAUGAUUGUUUAAUAAUUCUUUUGCAAUAAAUAAUUUUAUAUUAUAAGCUUAUUUCCACGGACCUAAAUGUGAACCUUAGCAAUUUGAUAUGAUUUAUGAAAAAUUCAUAUUAAGUUUUAAAAAAAAUAGAGGACAUGUGUCACUUGCUAACCUUAAAAUGGUGCUAGUUAUGUUUGUUCAAUGGACACGUAAGCUUCUUUCAGGCAUGUUUGCUAUCUUGCAAUACUUGUGUUAGUCAAACCUAAGUAAUUAGAGGUGAAAUUAAACGAAAAUUUACCAAAUGAGAGAAACUUGCUGCAACCAAAGUAGGCUUGAUAAGAGAAGAGAAGAGGAAUUGAAGUAGAAGUUUUGCUUUGGCUUGAUGUUUUGGAUCCAUUCCUCACAUUUGGCAAUCAAAUGUUUCCAAGGCUAGUGUUAAAUGUUUUUGUUGUAUAACUACACUUAGCGUCUAACUAAAUGUUGAUGGUAAAUAUGAAUUUGUGUGUUUUGUAGAGGUUUUAAAGGACCUCUAAUGUUUUGAAUUUUGGAAUGUUAAGUUUAAUUUGUAUAAUUAUACGAACUUGUGAUAAAUGUUUGUUUUGUGAUUGUAUGAAUUCUCACACUUGUCGUUUUAUGAUGUAGUUAUCGUUUAAUUGAGUAGACUUUGGAUUUUAUGAAUUAUCGAGUGAUGUGGUGUAUAACUACAUAGGCUUAAGAAUUGUGGAUUAUGAGUGUUAAUUAUGACUUGAUUUCUAGUGUCCUCAAAUGUGGUUUAGAUCCAGGAUUAUAUUGUUGAUUAAAUUUUAAUAUUAUGGAUUUUAAGACAGGGUCACACCUCCUGAAUGUGAUAAUUUGGGAGGCGUGACGGAGGUGGUAGCACAGCAUGAUUUGAGGAUCACUGAGAUAUUUGAUACAUUUGAUGUGCAAAAUUAUAUUGAAGUUUAGUAAUUAUAUAGUGAUCGUUGAAAAUUUUCUUUGAUGUCUUUUAGGAAUUUAGGAUGAUAAGGACUUCUGGUCCACUUGUUUCAUCUUCCUCUGUUGAAUCUAUGGGGCCUUUC